UCUCGGACCAGGCUUCAUUC
rnacentral:miRNA from 1 species